UCUCAGUGUGAUUAGCUGCAUAGAUGGAACACACAUCCCCAUCAAAGCUCCCUCACAUAAUGAAGCUGAUCAUGUGAACAGGAAGUCCAUUCACAGUAUAAAUGUGCAGAUCAUAUGUGAUGCUGCAUACAUCAUUUCCAAUGUGGAGGCCAAGUGGUCUGGAUCUGUUCAUGACUGGAGGAUUUAUCAUGAGUCUAACCUGAGCAACAGACUGCAACGUGGAGAGUUUGAUGGCCUUCUGCUGGGUGACAGGGGUUACCAUGCCAACCCAGGCUGAUGACCUCAUACCCUGACCCUGAACCAGGCCCCCAACAGAACUUCAACCAGGUUCACUGCAGGAUGAGAGCCUGGGUGGAGAUGACCAUAGACCUGCUGAAAGCCUGUUUCCAGUGUCUACAUCACCUCAGGGUGACUCCUGAGAGGCCUGUGAUAUUAUUGUGGCAUGUGUUGUUCUUCAUAAUAUUACCACUAUUAGAGGAGAGCAACACUCUGCCCUACAAACUGAAGACCCAGAUGAUGACUCCAUCCACCUGCCAGCUAUCCAGGACAGCAGAGCAGUCAGAGACAUCAUAUGCAAUAAUCACUGCAGAGUUUAAGUCUCCAUCAUCACCACCACAGCAGUCAAAUAAACACAUGACAUACAUUUCAUUUGGUCUUCUUUAUUUCCUACAAAUAAAAGAGCUAGUUUAGUUCAUGUUCCAGUAGUUCACAUAAUUCACCUGUGACCUGCAUCCACCUCUAACUUGUGCUCCAGUAUUUCAAUUUCCAGAUCUGCCUUCUUAAUCUGGUGGUCCAAGUACUGCAUUUCUUUAUCUGUUUUUUGUAUUUUUCUCAGCAAGUGGAUUUUGUAUAUUUGUUUUACUGGUAACUGGGAAUACAUAAAGGACAUUAAAUUAUACAGUUGCACAUGAA